rnacentral:rRNA from 1 species
UACGUAGGGUGCAAGCGUUAAUCGGAAUUACUGGGCGUAAAGCGUGCGCAGGCGGUUUCGUAAGACAGGCGUGAAAUCCCCGGGCUCAACCUGGGAAUUGCGCUUGUGACUGCAAAGCUGGAGUGCGGCAGAGGGGGAUGGAAUUCCGCGUGUAGCAGUGAAAUGCGUAGAUAUGCGGAGGAACACCAAUGGCGAAGGCAAUCCCCUGGGCCUGUACUGACGCUCAUGCACGAAAGCGUGGGGAGCAAACAGG